GUGGGGAAUUUUGGACAAUGGGGGCAACCCUGAUCCAGCCAUGCCGCGUGCGGGAAGAAGGCCUUCGGGUUGUAAACCGCUUUUAGCCGGGAAGAAAAGGCGUCCACUAACACUGGGCGUUCUUGACGGUACCGGCGGAAUAAGCACCGGCUAACUACGUGCCAGCAGCCGCGGUAAUACGUAGGGUGCGAGCGUUAAUCGGAAUUACUGGGCGUAAAGCGUGCGCAGGCGGUUCGUUAAGUUUGCGGUGAAAGCCCCGGGCUCAACCUGGGAAUGGCCGUGGAAACUGGCGGGCUGGAGUGCGGCAGAGGGGGGUGGAAUUCCGCGUGUAGCAGUGAAAUGCGUAGAGAUGCGGAGGAACACCGAUGGCGAAGGCAGCCCCCUGGGCCGACACUGACGCUCAGGCACGAAAGCGUGGGGAGCAAACAGGAUUAGAAACCCCAGUAGUCC
rnacentral:rRNA from 1 species